AACGAACGCUGGCGGCAGGCCUAACACAUGCAAGUCGAGCGAGACCUUCGGGUCUAGCGGCGGACGGGUUAGUAACGCGUGGGAAUGUACCCUUCACUAAGGAAUAGCCACUGGAAACGGUGAGUAAUACCUUAUACGCCCUUCGGGGGAAAGAUUUAUCGGUGAAGGAUCAGCCCGCGUCUGAUUAGAUAGUUGGUGGGGUAACGGCCUACCAAGUCGACGAUCAGUAGCUGGUUUUAGAGGAUGAUCAGCAACACUGGGACUGAGACACGGCCCAGACUCCUACGGGAGGCAGCAGUGGGGAAUCUUAGACAAUGGGCGCAAGCCUGAUCUAGCCAUGCCGCGUGAGUGAUGAAGGCCUUAGGGUCGUAAAGCUCUUUCGCCAGGGAUGAUAAUGACAGUACCUGGUAAAGAAACCCCGGCUAACUCCGUG
rnacentral:rRNA from 1 species